AGUGAACGCUGGCGGUAGGCCUAACACAUGCCAGUCGAACGGCAGCACAGUAAGAGCUUGCUCUUACGGGUGGCGAGUGGCGGACGGGUGAGGAAUACAUCGGAAUCUACUUUUUCGUGGGGAUAACGUAGGGAAACUUACGCUAAUACCGCAUACGACCUACGGGUGAAAUUAGGUGAUCUUCGGACCUUGCGCGAUUGAAUGAGCCGAUGUCGGAUUAGCUAGUUGGCGGGGUAAAGGCCCACCAAGGCGACGAUCCGUAGCUGGUCUGAGAGGAUGAUCAGCCACACUGGAACUGAGACACGGUCCAGACUCCUACGGGAGGCAGCAGUGGGGAAUAUUGGACAAUGGGCGCAAGCCUGAUCCAGCCAUACCGCGUGGGUGAAGAAGGCCUUCGGGUUGUAAAGCCCUUUUGUUGGGAAAGAAAAGCAGCAGGUUAAUACCCCGCUGUUCUGACGGUACCCAAAGAAUAAGCACCGGCUAACUUCGUG
rnacentral:rRNA from 1 species